ACGGAACGGAAAACACCGUAGUGGCGGUU
rnacentral:piRNA from 1 species